rnacentral:rRNA from 1 species
CAGUCGCCACGGUAAUACGUAGGGUGCAAGCGUUAAUCGGAAUUACUGGGCGUAAAGCGUGCGCAGGCGGUUCGCUAAGACAGAUGUGAAAUCCCCGGGCUUAACCUGGGAACUGCAUUUGUGACUGGCGGGCUAGAGUAUGGCAGAGGGGGGUAGAAUUCCACGUGUAGCAGUGAAAUGCGUAGAGAUGUGGAGGAAUACCGAUGGCGAAGGCAGCCCCCUGGGCCAAUACUGACGCUCAUGCACGAAAGCGUGGGGAGCAAACAGGAUUAGAUACCCCCGUAGUCCCUGUCUCUUAUAA